UAACACCAGGCCUAGGAAAAGCAUCAAUUCAUAUUUAAGACCUUAAAAAUCAUUAAACAUUUACCCAUUAGUAAAAAAAUAUAUAUCAUUGUAAAGGCCAAGGGAGUACAGUUAUUUUUUGUUUAAUGUAACUGCCGUUCAAAUUCUGUGGUUUUAUUUUUGUAACGGUAACUAUGGUAACAGAGUGCAGUUCUACCUGAAAAAAGUUAACAGCAUUCAAUGCUGUAAAGUAAGGGAACAAGAAUGCCCCCUUCACAAAGGGUGGUGGAAGACGGAGGGAAUCUACAAAGACCAACUUCACUCCAUGCCAUACAUGAAACAACUGCAGAACUAGAGAGCUCCUACAGAAAUAAACUACUUAUAGGU